rnacentral:rRNA from 1 species
UACGGAGGGGGCUAGCGUUGUUCGGAAUUACUGGGCGUAAAGCGCACGUAGGCGGCUUUGCAAGUUAGAGGUGAAAGCCCGGGGCUCAACUCCGGAAUUGCCUUUAAAACUGCAUCGCUAGAAUUGUGGAGAGGUAAGUGGAAUUCCGAGUGUAGAGGUGAAAUUCGUAGAUAUUGGGAAGAACACCCGAGGCGAAGGCGGGUUGCUGGGCCGACACUGACGCUGAGGCGCGAAAGCCAGGGGAGCAAACGGG